AGCCCAAGUGACCCGUUUGCCCAGCACCAGACUCCUGGAGAAGGAGCUGAGCCUCUGCCAUGCCGUGAGUGUCUCUCUGCUCUGAGCUCUGUCCCUGAGUACUGCUCCCUGAGCCGAGCACCAGAGGCAUCAGUGCUCACCUUCUGCCACUCCUCUUUUGCCCACGAGAAGACAUUAAGUGCCAGGAAUCUGGAGAGGCUGGUUGAGGAUCUGGCAAAGUGUCACCAUGCAGGUGUGGCACCUGGAGGGAGGACGUCACCUGGACAAGCAAGGACACCCGCUGGGCAGCAGCCACUGGACACAGCUCUGCAUGGACAGAGAGCCUGUGCUGCUGCCCACAGCUUGGAGAAGGGCAGGGCAAGGUUUGGGACAGGCUGUCCCGGUGACAUGCCAGCUCUCAGGAGGCUGCUGCUGUCUCCUUGCCUGUCCUGCUGCAUCCCUCAGCACAGAGCUGAAAGCAGGGCAGGGCAGGCUGUGGGAGCGCUGGCCUGGGGUCUCAACUGAUGGGCUUUUGCUCUCUUUUCCUUUGCAGCAGGAGGGACCAGCAGAAGCAGCAGCAGGAGGAGGAGGUGGCUGCCCUGGUGCCUUGCUCUGCAGAGGAACCCUUCUGCUGCUGCCCGGGCACCAGGGCAGGUGGGCUCUCAACUGCUGUUGGAAGGCAGCUCCUCAGACAAGCCCUUGCCCUCCUGCCUCUUCUGCAGGAGCUGCUGGUGGUCCUGCACCAGCAAGGACCAACCACAGAGGGCAUAUUCAGGAGAUGUUCCAGGGCAAGAGCCCUUCAGGAGCUGUGGGAGGCCCUAGACCAGGGCUUGGAUGUCGACAUGGGAAGCCAGCCUGCACUACCACUGGCCCUCCUCCUGAAGGUGAACUCUUCUGACCUGCAGCUGCAAGAGCUCCUGGCUAGGCUGGAAUCUUCAAAGGCUCACCAGGAGCCCUUGGCAUUGCAGGACUUCCUCCAAAGCAUCCCCUCCAAGCUCCUCAUCACAGAUCUCUACAGGGACUGGAUGGCAGCAAUGCAGAUGGCCAGCAGGGAAGAAAAGAUCUGUCAGCUGAAAGGCUCGCUGUUGCUGGGGUCAGACUGGGGGGGAAUGGACAGAGAGCCUUCCCUGGCAUGGGCUUGGGUGAAAUCAGAAGCUGGGAGGCAAACAUGUGCUUCCUUCCUCAAGUGCAGAGCCGAGAGCACUGGCCGAGAGCACCUGCAAAGCUGUACAACAGAGCCACUGCAGGAGGCAGGAGGGCAGGGACUUGUCUAAGGAGCAGUGGCCGGGACCAGAGCUCUGCCCCAUACUGAUUCCCUUCUCCCGCCAAGUGGCUGAAUCCAGAUGCCUGAGCCUUGAGGGAAGAGCCCAAUCCCCCAUACCCACAGCCCCUGGGGACACUGGCUCUGGAGCAGCUGGAAGAAGGGAGGGAUGGGGACCCGUGUGCGGGCUGCCUUAUCUGCAGGGGCCCAGUCAGUGAGCCAUCCUCCCCACAGAGAGAUGCCAGGGGCUGCCUGAAGAGCACCCUGCUGCAGCCAGAGCCUGCCUGCCCUGGCACCUGGUAAAGUGAGCUGGCGUUGGCUCAAACAAGAACUGACUCCUGGAGACAGUAGCUUUGCCUAUGUAACCCAAUUUUUGGGGCAAAGCUUUGCAGCCCACUCCCAGGAAAAGGAAAAGAGAAGGAAAAGAUGAAGAUAGGAGGCCUGACUUGGAGAGAUGGACGACCAAGAAAAAGGAAGAAGGGGAAGACAGGAAGAAGACAACAAGAGAAGCAUAAGAAGGUUCAGCAGCUCAAGAAGCCCAAGUGCCACUUUCCCGUCACCAGCUGAAGCCCUGGGACUCGUGGGCCUGCCUCCCCCUGCCCCUGAAGUUGUGCUUGUAGUACAGUUAGCUUUUGUUUGUUCUCA